AACCAAUAUCAGUCACUCAUGGCCAGAGGCAAACAAGCUGAGCCAAAAGUGAAAAUAAAAGCCAGUCCACGCAAACAACGCGAGCGUAAAAGGAGCACUUUCGCUUACAAGACGAGCAACGAUCCGUCGAGCAGCACGCAAGAGAAGUCUGUCAAAAAGUCAAAGCCGAGUCAGAAAAUUCCUAUGGAAAAUCUUAUUGCUGGUUACCUGGAGCUGUGGAAUAGGCAUACAAGAAGUCGGCCUCCACAGGAAUCCUCUCCGAUGUUUGCUCCUCAACACUGUCGGCUUGGAGGCCCGUCCCCCCAUCCAGUUCCGAGCCACGGCAUGCCUGAAAGAUGUUUGUUCUUUCAAAAUGACUCAAUUCAAAUAAAAUAAAAUAAAAUGGUCCAUAAUGA